GUACCAUACGCGCAUGAACAGUGACCGCGCGUGAACAGUACCCCGCAUGAACAGUGCGAAUUUCUGCUCCAGUUUUAAGCAUUUCAGUCCGAGUUUUUCCCAUUUUUCACCUUCCAAGCUCGGGUUUUGGGCGAUUUUUAGCAAGAAAUCUUGGGAAAUCUUGAGAUUCGACAUUCGUUGGAGAGAAUUCGAAAGGAAAAGGCGUUUUGGGCUAGUUUUCCAGCCGUAUCGAGAUCCAGGGCAGUCUCAGGCACAGUAGAUCUGGCAGAGGGCAGCUAGCAUCAGUAAGGAGCGUUGAGGACUGUAUAAUAUCUUCUUGGAAGCGGUGGUAACUAUAGGCACCGUAUAUUAUAAAUGUGUAAACAGUGGUAACUAUGGGCACCGUAUAUUAUAAUGGAAGCGGUGGUAACUAUUGACACCGCAUAUCAUAAAUGAAAACGGUGGUAACUAUGUACACCGUAUAUUAUCAUGGAAACGGUGGUAACUAUUGACACCAUGUAUUCUAAUGUAAAACAGUGGUAACUAUUGACACUGUACGUUAUGGCGUAUUAUUAUAUGCAUUGCAGGACAUUAUAUGAGAUUACUUUCUGUUGAUUGACAUGUAUAUUUCUGAGAUUUGUACUGUACAGGACUGCUAGAUAGCUUUAUAUUGUGUUUUACCGCGUUUCCUUCUUUCGGGUUUAUAGACUCUCAUUUCUCACUGAGUUGGUAGACUCACCCCAUACUCCCUGCACCUUG